rnacentral:rRNA from 1 species
UACGUAGGAGGCGAGCGUUGUCCGGAUUUACUGGGCGUAAAGAGCGCGCAGGCGGCACGCUAAGUACACCGUGAAAUCUCCCUGCUCAACGGGGAGGGAGCGAUGUAGACUGGCGAGCUAGAGGACGGUAGAGGGGGGUAGAAUUGCUGGUGUAGCGGUGAAAUGCGCAGAUAUCAGGAGGAACACCAAUGGCGAAGGCAGCUCGCUGGGACGGUACUGACGCUGAGACGCGAAAGCGUGGGGAGCAAACAGG